rnacentral:rRNA from 1 species
AGAGAGAGACAUGCGCGCAUAUCAAUAAGCGGAGGAAAAGAAACUAACAAGGAUUCCCUUAGUAACGGCGAGUGAAGCGGGAAGAGCUCAAAUUUGAAAUCUUCAAGGUUUACCUUGACGAAUUGUAGUUUAAAGAAGUGUUUUCUGUUGGAGUUUUGGUAAAAGUUCUUUGGAAUAGGACAUCAUAGAGGGUGAGAAUCCCGUAUUUGACCAUUAUUUCCAACUUUGUGAUACACUUUCAGAGAGUCGGAUUGUUUGGGAAUGCAGUCCAAAAUGGGUGGUAAAUUUCAUCUAAAGCUAAAUAUUGGCGAGAGACCGAUAGCGAACAAGUACCGUGAGGGAAAGAUGAAAAGAACUUUGAAAAGAGAGUUAAACAGUACGUGAAAUUGUCAAAAGGGAAGCGUUUGACACCAGUGUUGUUUUUCCGAAAAUCAAUUAUGAAUGUUUUAUUUUUGAGGAGUUAUGACUUCAUCGGCUUGCUCCUUUCUUUAUGAAACUUUCUUAAUGCACUUUUCGGUUAACAAGUCAACAUCAAUUUCUUUUGUUGUAAAAGGAGUAUGAGGAAGGUGGCUUUCUUUUCGGAGAAAGUGUUUAUAGCCUUGUACCUCUGCAAUCGGAGAGAUUGAGGUCUGCAGCGUAGAUCCUUCGGGGUUAGAUACAUUUGUGCUAAGUUAUAGCUUUUCAUAGACAACUUGUUGACUAUGUUAAGUCUUGUAGCUUACUCGCUUAUGCUAUUUUACCUACGCUUAGGAUGUUGACAGCAGUAUAGACUGU